rnacentral:rRNA from 1 species
AACGAACGCUGGCGGCAGGCCUAACACAUGCAAGUCGAACGCAUCGCAAGAUGAGUGGCAGACGGGUGAGUAACGCGUGGGAACAUACCCUUUUCUACGGAAUAGCUCUGGGAAACUGGAAUUAAUACCGUAUACGCCCUACGGGGGAAAGAUUUAUCGGGGAAGGAUUGGCCCGCGUUGGAUUAGCUAGUUGGGGGGGUAAAGACCUACCAAGGCGACGAUCCAUAGCUGGUAUGGGAGGAUGAUCAGCCACAUUGGGACUGAGACACGGCCCAAACGCCUACGGGAGGCAGCAGUGGGGAAUAUUGGACAAUGGGCGCAAGCCUGAUCCAGCCAUGCCGCGUGAGUGAUGAAGGCCUUAGGGUUGUAAAGCUCUUUCACCGAUGAAGAUAAUGACGGUAGUCGGAGAAGAAGCCCCGGCUAACUUCGUGCCAGCAGCCGCGGUAACAC